UUUUUUGGAUUUCUAUUUGAAGCUGGUUCAGCUUUUCAGGCAGAACAGUUAGUUUAAUAGCUGAUUUUGAACUUACUCAUGGGCAAGCAGCUGAUUUUAUUGUUAAUUAAUCUUUACUCUUCUUUCAAUUCAAUUUCUGUUCUAAAUAAAGGGAAAAUUUCUCUGCAUGUUAGAUGCGGAUCAAUAACUUCUUGCUCCUGCUGAUGGGGCUCAAGAAUCUGAAAGGUCAAGUAACCGUUACUUUAUAGCUUAUUCUUUUGGAAAAGUCAAUGAUGCAGGAUGGUUGGGGAUGGAAAUACUUAUCUCACUUGCAACGGACAUGUUUUGUUCCGCUUAAGCUUAAUUUUCUGAAAUCAAAUCCACAAUGAGAGAUUGCGUCUUCAAUCAGAUAUCCAGAAAAUGACAUGGUUGGAUUUUGUAAUUCUCCCCAUCGGUUAAGGAGGUCAAUGAAAUAAACACCCAAAAAGUUUUUCCAGAAAAUUUAAUUGACAAAAUUGACCUUUGACUUUUUCGAUCAUGAGCGACUAACCAACUUGUUUACUGGGCAUUAUGUCUCCAAAAAUUAUGUCUGUGUCAGUAAAUAGAAAAGUCGAUAAAUUCCAUAUCAAAGAAACACACUGUGCCUUUCAAAACCUAUUUGCCAUAAUAAUAUGCACUUUGAUAAACAUGCAACUGCUUCAAUAUAAUAAAUAUAUAAAUUUGGAUCUAAAUUGAGAUAGUUCGAGGCGAACCCAUGAUGUUAUAUUGUAGUACUACAGACUAAAUUAAAAAAUUUGGCUUUUAAAAUGAGUAUGAAAUUUCAUAAAUUAAAAAAAAUGAAAUCAAUUAAUUAGUGAACGCGUGAAAUAAAGCCAAAUUAAUGGAAGCCACACAUGCAAACUAUUUAUCCACCAUGAGGUUGAAAAAAUCAAUGUGCAGGGCAGCAUGUGUAUAUAAUACAACAAUACAAUAGAUAAGAAGAUAAUUGGUCCAUAUCUGUUGCCCAAUUAGAUUUUAUAUAUAUAGCUUAACUAAGAGGUUAGCAAUUGAAUGUUCGGUCAAAUCGGGCCUUGAAUUUUAUAUAUGUUUAGCACCAACGAAAACCUACAAAGAAUAUGAACCGUCAUGGUAUAACAAAAUGCCAACAUAUCAACUCUGAAAAUUUAAUGCACGACGAUUGACGAAGGGGAAAAAAAAAAGGAAAGAGAAGAAAGGAUUGCGUCUUCAAUCAGUUAAGGAGGUCAAUAGAGUCGACUCUGAAAAGUUUUUCCACAAAGAUUAAUGGGCAAAAUUGACGGUUCUGGGCAAAAAAAGGAAAGAGAAGAAAGGAUUGCGUCUUCAAUCAGUCAAGGAGGUCAAUAGAGUCGACUCUGAAAAGUUUUUCCACAAAGAUUAAUGGGCAAUAGAGUCGAUCCUGACUAGCGACAUUGUCUGCUGGGCAUUUAUUUGUUUCUCAAAAGAUAUGUCUGUUAGUAAAUAGAAACAUUAAAGCAACACACUAUGCCUUCCUAUACCCUUUCGUUAUAAUAAUUAAUAUGCACUUUGAUGAAGAUGAUAAAUAUAUAAAUAGUAAAUAUUUAGCAAACUUUGGAUCUAAUUAUAUUGAGAUAUAUUGUCAAAGGCAAACUCAGGAUCUUAAAGUACACCAGACAAAAUUAAAAGUUAAACUGUUAAAAUGGGUAUGAAAUUUCAUAAGUAGAAAAGUGAAAAAAAAAAAUGCACCAGACAAAAUGAGUAAAAUAUUCUUAUGGACUAACUGAAUAAAUAUCUCAAACUUUAAGAACAAAAUUAUCCUUGAUGGAAAGAGCAAAAUAAAUUAAUUUAUCCAUCACAAAGAGUAAGUUAUUAAGUUAAGGUAAAAUACGAGGAAAAAACAUACUCGCAUGACAAAAUAUACUGAAUUAGAGUGUGUGUUUUACUUAUCUUUUAGUUUAUCUCAUAACUUAAUAACUUAAAGAAUCUCUUAUUAGAUAAUGACUCUAAUUUAGAUUUUGUAAAAAAUUAAGUGACUGACAAGUUAUGUACAUAAAACAACAAACAAACUUAUGACAUAAAAUACAUAAACCAUAACAUAUUUAUGCAGUGACAAAAUACACUACAUUAGAGUGUGUAUUUUACUUAUCUUUUAUUUUAUCUCUUAACUUAAUAACUUAAAGUAGAGAUGGUAAAAUCUGGAUCCAGAUCUGCAUUGAAGUUUUGAUAUCUAGAUAAACAAAAAAUAUGCGGAUUCGGAUGCGGGUAAAUUCGCAUGGAUUGCGGACAGAUUUUUCGGAUAUCUAGAUCUGCAUAAUAGUAAAUUCAAAUAUAAUUUUAAAUUCAACAAUUUACCUAAUAAUAUCAAAUAAAAUCCAAUUAUAAUCCAAUAAUCAACAAUUUAAUAUCAAUUCAACAUAAAUAACAUACAACAAUACCAUAAAUCCACAAAUAAAAAUUUCACAAUAUAAAUCAAACAUAGAAAAUUAAAAUUAAAAAAAUCUAAGGCAAACCAAUUCAUUACAAUAUUCUCUUAUUAUUAUUAUUAUUAUUAUUAUUAGUUUCUUAACAUAUUUUUCAAAGUCAAGGAAGAUUAUAGAGUUAAUUAUGCUUAUACAUAUUAAAUAAAAUAAUUUAACUUAUAUAUUUUUUAAUUGAAAUCUAAUUAAAAAUAAUGUGGAUCUGGAUAUCUGAUCUUU
rnacentral:lncRNA from 1 species